AACGAACGCUGGCGGCAUGCCUAACACAUGCAAGUCGAACGAGACCUUCGGGUCUAGUGGCGCACGGGUGCGUAACGCGUGGGAACCUGCCCUUAGGUUCGGAAUAACUCAGAGAAAUUUGAGCUAAUACCGGAUAAUGUCUUCGGACCAAAGAUUUAUCGCCUUUGGAUGGGCCCGCGUAGGAUUAGCUUGUUGGUGGGGUAAUGGCCUACCAAGGCGACGAUCCUUAGCUGGUCUGAGAGGAUGAUCAGCCACACUGGGACUGAGACACGGCCCAGACUCCUACGGGAGGCAGCAGUGGGGAAUAUUGGACAAUGGGCGAAAGCCUGAUCCAGCAAUGCCGCGGGAGUGAUGAAGGCCUUAGGGUUGUAAAGCUCUUUUACCAGGGAUGAUAAGGACAGUACCUGGAGAAUAAACUCCGGCUAACUCCGU
rnacentral:rRNA from 1 species